rnacentral:rRNA from 1 species
UACAGAGGGGGCAAGCGUUGUUCGGAAUUACUGGGCGUAAAGGGCGCGUAGGCGGCCUGUUAAGUCGAACGUGAAAUCCCCGGGCUCAACCCGGGAACUGCGUCCGAUACUGGCAGGCUUGAAUUCGGGAGAGGGAUGUGGAAUUCCAGGUGUAGAGGUGAAAUUCGUAGAUAUUGGGAAGAACACCGGUGGCGAAGGCGGCGACCUGGUCUGAUACUGACGCUGAGGCGCGACAGCGUGGGGAGUAAACAGG